GGCACCAUGGCUAAACUGGCUAAAGCACUUGUCUAGUAAACAAGAGAUUCUGGGUUCGACUCCCAGUGGUGCCU